CUCGACAAGACUCCCCUCAAAACAUCUACUCGACGGAGCUUCUUCAUCUGGUGAGAUAGCUUCAACAAAAUCGAGUCAUGAAUAUUGCAAUGAGCACGCUGUGCCUGAUGCUGUUCAUCGUUCACGCACAAGCACAGGAUUCAGACACGCCUCCGCAAAAAGAAAGACUAAUUGAUACUAUUUUAGAUUUCCUCAAGCAAUCUGUGACAAAUUUUCCUCAUAAGGCAAAAGGGUUUACCUGCCAAGGGGGAAUGGAGAAUGAUUUGAGUCCAGUACGUUGUCUCCCUGGACAAGAAUCCUGUGUCGCUGCAAACGUAACUGUUGGGAUUUACACAUUCACUUACAAGAGCUGUGCUUCGGACCUGGAUUGUGUCUUUAAAGAACGCAUUCGAAAAAUGGUACUCAACGAUGUGGUAGAUGCCUAUGAGGAUGCUCGUGGGUGCAUCAUAAAUAGCUAUGAAUGCAACAGCGCCCCACAUGGUGGUCCACCUCGUUCCCUGGCUCUGCUUAUCCUCCCCAUUCUAUCCCUCCUUGUAUUUUCCAGCUAACUUUCUCGCAGGGCUAGGUACACACAAUAACCCUACCGUUGCUGUUAAGUGUGGGACUAAUCUAUUCAAAGAGCAGUUGCUCUUACAUUGUUCACAAGGGGUACUCAUUUUAUGUACCUCAUAAUUAUAAUGUAAUGCGUCAACCUGCCAACUGGAAUAAUAACGCAAGAUCUCUGGAUUGUUCGUCUGGAUCUCUACCACACCACCUCCCGACUUUCAAAUAGGAGUUAUACUUUAAAAUGGUGUCAAUUAUUCACGAGGCAAAACAAUCUGCUCUGUGCAAUGCAAUGUAUGGUCAAAGCAAUAAUGUGACACAAUGUGCAAUCGGGUUAGAGUAUUCAGUUCAUAGUUUAAAGCUUGUAAUUUCAAACGGCAGUCUGGGGAACGGCAUAUUACAUUAUCCCUCCUGAAUUAGUCAAAUUCAUACUACUCUUUGGGAUGUCAACAGUGGUUGUCUUUACUCUUUGGUUCUUUCGGUAAAGUCACGUAGGCAUAAAAUAAAAGAAAUUAAAUCACGACGUUUCGUACGCAACACAAGCAUCCGUCAUCAGGUGGGACAACCAUAAGAAGAAACAAUUGCAGAAGUGGACAAAAGGGCUGCUGUAACAAGAGGCUAUAUAGGCAAGAGAGGGGGGAGGAACCAGGGAUGAGAGACAGAGAGGGGGGGGGGGGAAUGGAUUGAGUGGUUGUCUUGUGGAUAUAACUGUCCCUGCCAUGGCAAUGCAGACUAUAUAUGUAUGCCUAACGGUAGAAAAUUGGAUAACUUGGAUUCAGAAUCGAGCAGACUGGAUGGGCUUAAACCACAAAAAACCAUGAGGCUGGGGACUAUUGUGCAGUGCAGGGUGCUACCAAUUACGGAUAUUGUGCUGUACAGCGUUCAGAAACCUCUUUCGUGGUCUGGUGCGCUUAAUAUUUUUAAAAUUAAAAAAUUAAUGGAUACGGUGCCCCAGCGACCUCGUGGUUAAACCGGCCAUGGUUCAUGGAGUGUCUUUUGUGAUUUACUUACCUUUCCUGUACUUUGCACUGCUAUUGUGUUUUCGUAUUGUUGUAAUUUUAUAAUCUGGCCCGAUUGGACACAUGUGAAAAAGAGCUUUAUAGCUCAUCGGAUUGCUCCAGGAUAAAUAAGGAUUCUGAUUGCAGCAUAAUACAUUAGUUUAAUGCGUCGCUGGCACAGAAAAAAAAAGUUUAAAACGUUUUGUUUGUUUGUAAUCAACAACCAUCAAUGAAUGUGUACGUUGAUGUUACGUUAUUGCAAUCACAAUGAGUACUUUAAUCGGUGUUUAUAAUAAUCAAAUAUGCUUUUAAUUGUAACCCCCCCCAUAAACUUAUGACCAUGAUAAGCACUGAACAAGUGCCACACGUUCCUUUCCACCUCUAUCAAAGCGUCU